rnacentral:lncRNA from 1 species
CUUUACAAAACAAAUAGUAAACCUAUCAGAUAUCCAUAUAAUUAAGUGUCUUAUAGCUGGACAAAACAAUUAAAUAUUUGUGUUGUCCAAAAUGUAAACCCACAUUAAAGAAUGACAAUAACGUGUGACGAUUGUUUUGUUCAUUGUUCACAAAACAUUAGUUGGCAUACAUAACAGACAUGAAGUAAUUACUUCAUAUACGGCCCUUGAUAACACAAUCGACAAAUGACAGCUUAAACUCAAAUUAUCGUAUACUAUGAGAACUGAAUUACACAUAUAUUAUGGAUUAAUGUUAUUUUCCAGUGCAGGUAUUUGUUGAACAUUCACAAUGCAGCAUGUAUAUUCAUUACAUGUUUAUUGUUUCUUUAAGAUUUUGAGUAAUCCAUUUAAACGCACC